AUCAUGUCCAGUAGAUGCUAUACUAAGGACUACGUGAGGCCACCCCGGGCUGGAUGCGGGGUGUGACUUCUGGCUGCUGUGAGGGACCGUGAUUGCCAUGGGGUGAGAGGAGACCUGGGAGAAGGCAAGGGCAGAGUCAAGGAUUCACCCAACCGCAGAAAGAAUACAUUGACAGAGGUGGGAUCGGGCACGCCGAAAUCUGUGCGCCCAUUGGCUCUAGACCACGCCGCAGAGCGGGGCGGAACUGCGCUUGCGUACGGCUAAGGCGCGCCCCCGCCGGCCAUUAAACAUGGCGACUGUCACCGAGCUGAAAGCUGUUUUAAAGGACACCUUGGAAAAGAAGGGGGUCCUAGGGCAUUUAAAAGCAAGGAUCCGUGCUGAAAUAUUCAAUGCCCUGGAUGAUGAUCGUGAACCUCGACCAUCAUUGUCGCAUGAAAACCUUUUAAUUAACGAAUUAAUUCGAGAGUAUUUGGAAUUCAACAAAUAUAAGUACACAGCAUCUGUCCUCAUAGCAGAGUCUGGUCAACCUGUAGUUCCACUGGACAGACAAUUUCUCAUCCGUGAACUAAAUGCCUUCGAAGAAUCAAAAGAUAACACAAUACCUCUUUUAUAUGGAAUUUUAGCUCACUUCUUGCACGGCACCAAGGAUGGCAUCCGAAGCGCACUCCUGAAAGGGUCCUCACUUCAGCCUCCAAACCCAGAUCUUGGCAGGCCGCCUAGUGGGAGAAAGCAAGAGGGGACAAGAUGGGAAAAAAGAGAUGAGAUUUUUAUAACAGAAAAGACCUUUACCAGCUCAACUUUAUUGCACUGUCAAGUACAAAAAUAAUAGACUUCUGUUGAAGACAGUGGGCACAUGUGUAAUCCCAGCAAUUUGGAGACUGAGGCGAAGGAUUGCAGAUGGCCCGCUGGGAAAGGAGAGGGGCCCGAGCACCAGUGUCCAGGAGCUCCGUGCUUCCCAGCAGUGAGGAGAUGACGCGUCUCUUAGGGCGUCUUUCAUCUCACCAUGACGUGUACCGAAUAACUUAUUAUCUCAGUGUUACCAGUAUGCACCUUUAUUUGUGUUUUGUAGAAAUUUGAGUUUCUGCAAACAUUUAGACCCCCAUGUUUCACUGCAUUUGUGAAUAAAAGCUGUCAUCUGCCUUAUGGGAUGUGACUGGAAAGAAAAUACAUUGUUUUUAGGAAAUAUUGAAAAAGUUUUUUAAGUUUGUGAAAAAUGAGUUUUUCAGUAAUUUGUAUAUUCUUCUAAAAAAGAUUUUUAUCCAUGUGUCCUGCUUUUUGACAUAGCACAUUAAUUACAUUUUCUUCAACUUGAAUUAUGUGGAUUUGUAGGAAAAUUCAUUCGUGUUUUUAAAAGGAAGUUAAAAGAACAUUAUAGCCAGAAAAACCUUAAUUCCUGUAAAGUUUGUUUUAUUUUAAAAGUAGCUGUUUUUCAUUUAACCCUUCAUAAUUAGAUGGAAUAGCUGAAUUACUACCUAAAAUUGACCUUUUAAACUAGGUAACAAUGUUCUUUUUAUUUCCUUAGACCAUUUUGGCUUCUACUGGGAGAUUUAAUUAAAAGGUAGAGGGGGAAAUCAUUCUUUUAAUUUUGCUGUAAGUAAAACAAAGAGUUUAUUAUAGGAAGAAUGUAAAAUACGCAUAAAGACACAGGCUUGGGGAGAAACACCAGAGAGUGACUUUUAAUAGAUGGCAUUGUUUAAGCGCCCUGUGGCUCUCGGUUGUGUAACUACUGAUGCAGUCUAAAGGGCUGGCCGCUUCUUCCUCGGGCUCUGAAAGGCUGAUUAAAGAUCAGUCUUCAUUCUUGGAUUGAAACAGAGUGAGAGCUUUUCCAGUACUAUCUCUAAAUGCUCUUGAUAUUUAUUGGGGAAGUUUUAUAGUGCAGCAGCAACAGACUCACCUCACAGAAGCAGCUGUGGUACUAGACAGUGCUAAUUGGCCAGAGCCACGGGGAUAUUCUGAAUGCAGCGUCCUGGGCUGGCUGGAGAACUGGCAGAGUGCAGUGGAAGUGUCUUCCACAGGGCAGAGCCAGAGUCCUCAUAGGGUGCUAGGACUGUGCUGACUUUGAAAGUUAGGGAAACUUUUGAUGUUAGUAAGUGUUACUCCUUAUAGAUUUAAGAAUUUUUAUCAAAAUGCAAAAAAAAUUUUUUUUUUGUGCUGCUGGGGAUUGAACCCUGGGCCUUGAGCACACUAGGUAAGUGCUCUACCAGUGAGCUACACUCCCAGCUCCAGAAAAAUAUUAAUGAUACCAUUUUAAACUACACAUUUUACAUAUAGAUGCAGUCUUUUAAGAGCCCAUUUCCAUUUUUAAAUCUCCAAUAUCUGAUUACAGUUAUGAAUUGCAUUGUAUUGUAUGUGGGAAUCUAAAUAUCUGAAUUUUCCCAAAGGACUUGGUUUACAGCCAAGGAUGUUAAGUUUACCUCAGGAAUUGCAAUCAUGUAGGACUAGAUUAAGAAAAAAUGCUAGAGUUUAUAAUGUUGGAUGCUGAUAUAAAAUCAUCAUCAUGAAUGCUAAAAUCAUCACAUGUAGUCCAUAGUGCUUUUUGUAUGCAUUGUUCUGUACCUUGUUUGUGCCUAGGCACAUUUUAUACUUUGAGUGUAUUAUUUAAUUUAAAAAUUACCUCACUUUUUUGUAAAGAAUGUUCUGUUGUUAAGAAUCAGAAAGAGGUUUGGGGCUGCCUCUCUGGGCUUGUGGUUGGGGCCCUCAGAAAGCUCGCUGUUGGAGAGAGUGGCAUAGGGCUGGUGGAGCGUAGUUGGUGUCAGCCGUACCCCUGGGAAAGCUACUCUUCUUAGGCUGUCAGGGAUGGGGUCUUCUGUGGUCGGUCUCUGGGGAUGGCAUCAUAAUCUACGGUUUCAAAAAGCAAGUUGGAAAAGACAAAAGCAUCUAUUUUCAAAACACUACAAGAUUUUUAUCCAAAAAUGAGGAUUUAUAUUCUUAAAAGUUGAGAAAGUCUACUCUAGAAAUUUCUGUGCUUGGGAUUUUUGAAGUGUCAAUCACUUUAAAAAGUGUAUGGGCUGAGACAUUUAAAACAAUAAAAGACUUAAUACAUGUA